rnacentral:rRNA from 1 species
AGCGAACGCUGGCGGCAGGCCUAACACAUGCAAGUCGAACGGAUCCUUCGGGAUUAGUGGCGGACGGGUGAGUAACACGUGGGAACGUGCCCUUUGGUUCGGAACAACUCAGGGAAACUUGAGCUAAUACCGGAUGUGCCCUUCGGGGGAAAGAUUAAUCGCCAUUGGAGCGGCCCGCGUCUGAUUAGCUAGUUGGUGAGGUAAAGGCUCACCAAGGCGACGAUCAGUAGCUGGUCUGAGAGGAUGAUCAGCCACAUUGGGAAUGAGACACGGCCCAAACUCCUACGGGAGGCAGCAGUGGGGAAUCUUGCGCAAUGGGCGAACGCAUGACGCAGCCAUGCCUCGUGAAUGAUGAAGGUCUUAGGAUUGUAAAAUUCUUUCACCGGGGACGAUAAUGACGGUACCCGGAGAAGAAGCCCCGGCUAACUUCGUGCCAGCCGCCGCCGUAAGAC